UACGAGAGGCCCAAACGUUAUUCGGAAUUACUGGGCUUAAAGAGUUCGUAGGCGGCGCAGAAAGUAGGGUGUGAAAGCCCUCGGCUUAACCGAGGAAUUGCGCUCUAAACUACUGUGCUUGAGGAAGCUAGAGGUGAGCGGAACUGAUGGUGGAGCGGUGAAAUGCGUUGAUAUCAUCAGGAACACCGGAGGCGAAGGCGGGUCUCUGGGCCGAUACUGACGCUGAGGAGCGAAAGCGUGGGGAGCGAACAGG
rnacentral:rRNA from 1 species